GCCGGGGUGGCGGAAUUGGCAGACGCGGGGGACUUAAAAUCCCCUUCCCGUAAGGGAGUGCGGGUUCGAUUCCCGCCUUCGGCACCA
rnacentral:tRNA from 1 species